AUCACAUUCACCGCAUUUCCAGGGAGUGUCUUUCUUUACACCUUUUCUCUUGCAGAGCUCACACCUGAGGCGUCCAGCUGUGGCCCUCGAGCUUUGGUCAGUUGUCUCUCUGGUAGGCAAAGGGGUAUGUCCGGUUAGUUUUGGUGUGGCAGCAACAUCCAAUGUCACCCCACACAACUCAGCUGCAAGUUGCUCAACAAACGCCUUAUGUGUCAGGGGCCGACUCUGUGCACUCUGGCACAGCUCCUUGUGUAGGAUGUAGCUAUUGGUAAUAGCAAUGUCCAGGAAAUGGAGGAAGAGGGUCCUGUACCACCUCUUGGUUGUGUGGUGCACUGAGUAGUACUGGAUGAGUUGGUCAGACAAGUCAACACCUCCCAUGUACUUAUUGUACUCUAUGAUUGGGGUUGGGAUUGGAAUGUGACUUGUCUCCCAGUGUCCUUCCCUGCUCUUCUGCCUUCUCUGUACUGUGUCACCUGAGUAUGCAGGAUGAAUGGUGGAGCACAUUGACACUUCCCUGUUGUCCAUCCAUUUUGUGAAGAGGAGGUCGCCGUCUCUAAUCCACCUCAGGGAUCCUCUUGGGGACUUCCUGGUCAGGGCAUUGACCUUGGUUUUUGGAGCCUCCUUCCUUCCUUCACGGAUGGUCCCACAGGCUCCAAACUUCAAGGACCUGAGGUGUCUGAACAGAUGUGGGCUGGUGUAAAAAUUGUCACAAUACAAGUGGUACCCUGAACCAAGGAAUGCUGGCUUCAUCAGCCCCACCACAGAGUCAAAGGACAGUCCACAGCCAGUGGCAAACUUGCUCUUCCCAGUGUAGACUGUGAAGUCACAAGUGUACCCAUUGCUGGAGUCUGCCAACACAAACAGUUUGAAGCCCCACUUUGUAGGUUUGGCCUUCAUGUAUUGGGUCAUCCCUGUUUUGGCCUUUGUGGCAACCAUCCGUUCAUCAAUGGAGAGGUUCAGCCGGGGCUGGUAGAAUGACUUGCAUGCUAUUUUGAUGUCAUCCAUGAGUGGCCUCACCCGGAAGAGCGUGUCAUACUCAGGUGUGCCCUUCUUACGGUCGUUGAUAACAUCCUCAGCAGGGUCACUCAUGUGCAGAUUCCAGGAGAUGACACGGAAGCUGUCCCUUGGCAUCAGUGAGCCUGGAAAAGGGACACUGAACAUGUGUUUCUGUCUCCAAUAGUCCGCUACAGCAGGCAACUUGAGGAUGGCCAUGUAAACAACAAGUCCAAGGUGUCCUGGCCGGGAAGAAGCGGGGGACAAUGGGUGGCACAUCCUGCUCCUUCUCCGACUUCCACGCUUGGGCAGGUGGGACAGCUGGUGUGGGUCCAUGCGGUGACCGUGAUCUUCCUCGGGUUGACCAUGAUCUUCCU
ensembl:lncRNA